rnacentral:rRNA from 1 species
CAAUAGCGUAUAUUAACGUUGUUGCAGUUAAAAAGCUCGUAGUUGGAUUUCUGGAGGGAGCGUCGGCCCGUAUUUACGAGUGCGUGACGUCUCUGUCCAUCCUUGCGGGAAGGCACGGCAUUGAUUUGUUGUGUCGGAUCGCAUCAUUUACUGUGAAAAAAUUAGAGUGUUCAAAGCAGGCUUUCGCUUGAAUACAUUAGCAUGGAAUAAUAAGAUAGGACUUUGGUGCUAUUUUGUUGGUUGAGCCUAAAGUAAUGAUAAAUAGGGAUAGUUGGGGGCACCUGUAUUGCGUUGUCAGAGGUGAAAUUCUUGGAUUUACGCAAGACAAACAGCUGCGAAAGCGUCUGCCAAGGAUGUUUUCAUUAA